CAAUCCACUCCGCGUCUUCCGCAACCAAUCACCCAAUCCCUUCCUCGCCUCAGUCCCGUGCCAGCCGCCGCCCAAACCCUAGCCCCCGUUUCCCUCUAUCCCCACAGUAACCGCACCAAACCCUAGCCCCCCAUCCACAACCACCCGCUCCUUCUCACAGCCGCCGCACCAUUCCCCCCUUCCACCCCCUCCUCCUUCCCAGAUCCCCACCACGGCGCCGACCUGCAGGCAAAGGGCAACGAAGAGUGGCAGACGAGGACAACGAGGGAGAGAAAGAAGGGAGAAAAAAAGGAGGCCGGUGGCGAGGCCCAGCGACUAGCGCCUCUCCGCCUCAAGCCCUCGCAUCACCGCCACCAGAUAAAGGGCGAAGGCGGCGGCGCUCGAGCAGAUGAGAGGGAGUGAGAGGUAGGUGCAGUAAGGCGACGGAUGGGAGAGGGGCGAGGGCGAGCUCCAGCGCGAGCGCGCGGACCCAUCACCCACGCCAGCGAGGUCCUCGGCCCCGAGCUACGCCUCUACAACCGCGAAGGUGACUGCUGCGACCACGCUAGGUUUUGUUCAGUGCGCACACACACUGUGCCGUCUCCAAGUGCCAGUUGAACUUACUGUCGGGCUUUAUUGCCCUCCUCUGAUUUGGUGUUGUGGGAGAAAGAAGAAGAGCAGGCAUGUUCUCUGUUUCUACAUCCAGCGUCCACAGGUCUAGAUCGACGGGUCUAAACUCUUGAAUACAGAAAGAAUAAGCUACUAGCAUUCCUAAUGUGCAAGUAAACCUACUAGGAUUACGCCUGCAAAAAAAGUUCAUGAAAUAUGUUGAAGUAUGGCCUUGAAAGGCAAGUUGGAUGGUUGGAGAUGCUCAAAAGAUGUAACAAAGAGAGAAGAUAAGAGGGGGGGAGAGAAGGAGAAGAGGGAGUGCCCGAUUCGAUCUGCAAGAGAGAGAGAGAAGAUAAGAGGGAGAGAGAGAAGGAAGGAGAGGAGGGAGAACUCUGUUGCCGCCGCGUGCCGUACUUCUGGAUAGAGCACUGCCUGACCAAGGGUUAAGAGUAGAAGGUAAAAACCCUAGCCACAAUGCUCCCGUGCGGGUUGCAUCCCCGCAUCUCCCGUUUCAUUAUUUCACCAUCGCUGCCUCUUCUCCUCUUCGUUGCUCUACUUCUUCCCCUGAUUCCUCUUUUUCGUUUUUUCUCUUUGUGGCGCCGCCGAGGAUGAGUGGAGAGGCUGCUGAAGCAGGCACUGGUGCGCUGCUGGCGAAGCGGUGGUAAAUGGUGUCGUCGAUGUUGUCCUUGGCAGAAGUUAUCCCCAUUGGCUUGCGGAUAUGCUCAUGCUGGGUUGUUCUUGUUUAUUUUCUCUAUCCAACAUCAUUGCAGUUGCUGACCAUAUGAUUGGUAGCCUUGGACAGAAGAGGGCCAGCAACAAACAGAAGCAACCACAGUCCUGUCCAGAACAUGCAGGGAUCAUCUUUGGUGGCAUCCGAUGCUGGCAGGCCACGGGGUUAGAGCAGAGGAAGCUAACAUGGUGUUCGAAAUUCAGAUGGUCAUUGUGAUCCACCAGAUGUUGCGCCUCAUGUCACCCCGAGCCUCAAGGGCUUGUUAGCAUCAUAAAGGCCUCUCAGUCUUUAACCCUGACUAUAAAAAUCCAUUGAUGGAAGCGGGGGAGGGCUGAGAUGAACAUCCGGCUCCUUGGGUCUAAGCCAUCAAGAUGGUAGAGACGAUGUUUCCAUGUCAUCUACUCCAGCAGCUGGACAAGGCAUAUAAAAACCAUGGAUCCUUUGCUCCCCAGGCCACAAAAUGAUCACAAUGUCUGCGACCUCCUCCUAGAUGUAUUAAUCUCAAUCUCAUGUUUGGUUUUCUUCCCUUUUCUCUACUAAUAAUGUAAUUUCUUUUACUAAGAUAAUACCACGUUUGUUGUAAUGCCUUAUUUGAUGUAAGAUCCCUUUUCUACUUUGAAUGAAUUUACCGCAUAUA